rnacentral:rRNA from 1 species
GAUGAACGCUGGCGGCGUGCCUAACACAUGCAAGUCGAACGGUGAAGCGCCUUCCUCUUUGGUGGGCGUGGAUGAGUGGCGAACGGGUGAGUAACACGUGAGUAACCUGCCCCCUUCUUCUGGAUAACCGCAUGAAAGUGAGGCUAAUACGGGAUAUUCUGGGUCUGUCGCAUGAUGGGUCUGGGAAAGAUAUUGUUUCGGUGGGGGAUGGUCUCGCGGCGGAUUAGCUAGUUGGUGGGGUGAUGGCCUACCAAGGCGGCGACGGGUGGCCGGCCUGAUAGGAUGAUCGGCGACCAUGGAAGUGCUGAAAGGCCGCGACUACUACGAGAGGAAGCAGCGGGGAAGAUUGUAGAAUGGGGGGAGGAAUGCUGAAGCAACGACGCCGGGGGGAAGAUGGAGUUCGGCGUGUAGAGAACCUCUUUCGCGAAGGAAGCGGACCAGGCUCAUAUGUGGGUGUUUUGACGGUAGCUAGAGAAGAAGCACCGGCUAACUACGUG